GAAUAGUUGAAAAAGCAUUCUACUGUGAGAUGGUGCUAGUUUUUGUUGAAUAUUAUGACCAUACUCUUGUUGACUUAGGCUUAGUGAGUAAGUACAUUGUAAUAAACAUCAAACGCCUAGUGGCUCCCUCUGUGGCGCAUCAGAGACAGAUUCAGGCUUGUGUAUCUAUAGUUGUGACAUUCCAAGAUAAUGGGGACAGUCACAUGAGGCUCUGGCUGGCACAGAGAGAAACUGUCACCACUCCUGAAUUCUCUCAUACAAAUCACUCCUCCAGAGGGCUGGCUCUCUGGAACAUAUAAUAAUAUAAUACAAAUAAUAAUCAUAAUAUUAACAACAAUCAAAGCUAUAUACAGGUGUGGCCAGAUCCGGAGGACACGAGAACAGAAAUAGCAUAGGUCCUUGAAGGCUUUCCUGAACAGCACUGCCUUGAGCUGUGUCUUAAAGGAGGCCAGAGACUCUGCAGCCCUAAUAGUGUCUGGAAGAGACUCAGCCCUAAUAGUGUCUGGAAGUGCGUUCCACAGCCGUGGAGCCGUGCAACUGAAAGCCUUGUUACCCAUAGUGUUUAGUCUGCUGCGGGGCUGACAAGGGGGACAGACAUGGAGGGGUGAAGGGUGCGUGUGGGGCAGGAGGGUAGAAUGAGGUCAGACAGGCACUUGGGUCCAGAGUUGUGGAUAGCUUGGUAGGUGUGAAACAGGAUUUUGUAGUCGAUGUUCAGUAGAAAGUAGUGCAUACAAUGAAGUAUGCUGUAAACAUGCACCUAACAGUAUUUGUCUCAAUAAAACAAGACAAAGGUGUAAAAAAAUCCAAGCUUCAGUCUAAAUUGAAUACUUGGUUUCAAUUUCAGACAUUUUGUGUGAGUCAUGAACAGUCAGUAAUCACCAUACUGUAUCAUAUUAUGACACAGUGUUGCAUCCCAGGAGAACAUAGAGCUGCCGUGUACUGAGGAGAUUCCCCUGCCUUAAAGUUACUGGCAUCACACGGAUCAUGGCACUUACAGAUGUAGGAUCUUCAUUUGAUCAUUUGAUCACUCUUUUGCCGCAGAGAAUUUUCCCACCUAGCAGGAAAUUCAAACUUGUAGUGUAUUUGAGUUUUUAAAAGGCUUCUAAAGUUUGAACUGUCAGACACUUGAUUUGCCCUGACGAAAAGUGUAUCACUCCCCACAAAAAUGUCUAUUAUAAUCCACAUAAUAAUGAUAAUUUCCUGUUGCUGCAGGAUUUUUUUCCUGCUGUAGCAAACUGGCUCAAAUUAAGAUCCCACAUCUGUACCUCACGCUCCAGUGAUGUCACUGACUCGCCCAAUCCUGGAUGAUUAACCAAGUUUGAAAGAUUAAUCUAAAAGGGGUCAGGGGCCUAAUUUAUGUUUGAUAUGCACAGAUGACAACACAAAAGACAAUAUUACAUUUUAAUUGGCAAGUGCUUAACGUAGCGACUUGACUUUGGGUUGGCCAGUGCCCAGAAUCCCUCUGUGGUCCACUAAAGCCUUGUUUGACAUUUGAGAUGGCUGAAGGGUACGCAUAGUUAGCUGCACUGGCUCGUCUGCGUAAGGUCGCUUGGAGGGAGAAUCUAAAAGCCCACUUCCCCUAAUUAACACAUGUUUUUACUAAACUUAUUCUACAUACAAUGUCCACACUAUACAUCAGGGUUACACUGCCUGCAAAGUGAUAUAAUCUGGCAAGAUUUCAGAAUGCAUUGGGCAGUGCUCUUCCCCAGUUUAAGCAUACAGUAUAUCUAACAAAGUAAUUUAGGCAGUCUGAGCAGCCUUUUUAUCUUUAUAGUGCCAUCAUUUAAUUUGAUAUGUUCCCAUAAGUUGUACUUCAUCAUAUGUUGUGACUAGUUUACCUCAUGGUCUAAAUUCCUCAUCUGUUUUCUUCAGCAGCACCUUCUCAUCCUUACUGCUAUGCAGCUACAGCUCUCUCUCUGAGCAUCCAUGAUAUUAGAAAUACACCUUAAGCUCAGUCAAAUGUUAGUUCUAUUGACAUAGAUGUAUUAAAGUAGAUUCAGGGCAUUCUGAUACACCAGCCGACCAACUUUAAUAUUCCAGCAGAAAAACAAAUAUGUACUUUUGGGCUCUCAAGCUUUAUUAAAAUGACAUUCAUUUGCUUUCCCCUUCACUUUUAUAACCUAUGAUACAUUAAAUAAUUUCUACCUAUGCCUGGUUUGUAUAAUUAUAUCCAUAGGGGGGGUUUGGUAGAGUACUAUGCAUGGUGAGAUAUUAUAACUGUAAUAUUUAGUAUCUUGAUAAGCUGUAUUGGCGACUUUAUCUCAGAAGCCAUCUCUGUAUUGAUAUAUUUGUCGCAACAGGAUUCUUUAUGGGAUUGGUCUGUAGUGAGUAGGAUAUGCAUAGAAGUGUCAAUUUCUCCCCAUACAUUCAUACUAUAAAGACUGAGGCCGUCAGUGUCUGGGAACGUGCUCUGCAAAUGUGACUUGAAAUGGAAAUACAAGGGUCAGCCCUGAACAUGUAUUUAGGCGUAUCUUUAAUAUUUUUUUAUUUUGUUCUAAUAUUCAUAUUUAGGUAAUGGAUUUGAUUUGAAAAACGAAGCAAAGGGCUAUUUACCUACAUCUCUGCUGUCUGUAUCCAGUUCAGUAUAGGUGCUUGAGUGUUGCUGUUGCUGUGUAUUCCAGGAAAGUCCUUUAAAGGUGCAAUCCAGGAUCUUAAGCACUUACAAAUUCGUAAUAUACUGUAUCAUACAAAAUGCAAAAAUACAGUGAGCUCCAAAAGUAUUGGGACAGUGACAAAUGUUUUGGCUCUGUACUCCAGCACUUUGAAUUUGAUACAAUGACUAGGAGGUUAACGUGCAGUACUUUUUGUACACAGUCCCCCCAUUUUAGGGGAGCAAAAGUAUUGGGUCAAAUUCACUCAUAUGUUUAUUAAAGUAGUCAAAAGUGUAGUAUUUAGUCCCAUAUUCCAAGUACACAAUGACUACAUCAAGCUUGUGACUCUACCAACUUGUUGGAGCCAUUUUCUGUUUGUUUUGGUUGUGUUUCAGAUGAUUUUGUGUCCAAUAGAAACGAAGGGUAAAUAAUGUAUUGUGCCAUUUUUACUUUUAUUGUAAAUAAGAAUAGAAUGUUUCUAAAUACAUCUACAGUAAUGUGGAUGCUACUAUGAUUAAAGAUAAUCCUGAAUGAAUUUUGAAUAAUGAUGAGUGAGAAUUACAGACGCACAAAUAUCAUAUCCCGAAGACAUCCUAAUAAAAUACCAAAAUACCAUACCAUGCUAACCUCUCCCUAUUACAAUAACAGGGGGGUAUGCUAUUUACGCCCCUGUAAAGUCACCAGUUUUGGCUCGUGAGCGAGCACUACUUUCAAAACUGCUGUCUGAAAUACAGUUGAAGCAUCACUUUAACCUGUACAAUCAGUCUGCACCAUCAAAACAAACACAGUAUUCUGAGCAGGCCAGGGAGCACAGGCAUAUAUAUAAGCACCUAUAAAUAAACAAGGAAUCACAAAUGUAGAACUUGAAAGCAGAAAUAGUGCUGCUAUCUUUGCAUAAAAGACCAGAUAAAACACUGUGAUAUAUUUUUGUUGAUUGUGGUUUUAUGAAAUAUGCUUGGCACUGCAAUCCUCUUUCACCUGAGUCAUUUCAUCUGCCUCCACAUGUGACUAGGGAGCGAUACUAAUACGUUUAGUCUGAUUUACAGUAACACACACUGUACUUUAUCACUACACGAUGAAAGAAUGGCACACAAACACUACUUCAUUUUACUUCCAGUGUCAAGUUGUUGGUCAGGCUUUGUUGUACAAAUGUUUUCUGUCAUACUCUGAAAGAAGCCAAGCUCCUCAUAUAUUUUUAUAUCGUUUGAUACAUUUUUCGGAUUUCUUCUUUGUAGUUCUAGGUAACAGAACCGUUACCCUUUCGCAUGUACUGAGGUGCAGUACACAUGUUGGUUGAAAAGCCUUCCUUUGCAUGGCUGAGUGAAGGAGUGCUAAUGGUUUUGUAGCCAGUCUCCUACUGGGUUUCAAAGUGCACCUCUUUAUAGGACAAGGACUCCUUUUCCUCUGGGCUUUCACUAGAAACAGGGUCACCACUGUCUUAGGAGUUUUUUUCUUCCAUGAAAAAAACAAUCGUGAUAAUUUUUAUGUAAGUCUUUCAUAGAACAUCCUAUUUCAGUCCACAUUUAUGUAACAAACCGUGAAUGGACUAUGAUUGUCUCUUCUCCCUCACGUUCACUGUGACUUGGUUGCUGUGGAAACCCAUGUUAGUGUUUGAGAAAAACAGAGGACAUGAACAGUGAAAUAUUCCUCAGUUUAUCACAACCAGUAGAGUCUCCAAUGAAGUGUGAGAGUGUGUGCAUGUGUGUUUGUUAGCCAUUUGCCCCUGUUCGUCAACAAAGCCUCUGCACUCUUCACUUUGAUGCUUGUUACCAGGUUACAGCCAAUAGUUUUUUGUUUUCGGGCACAUGUCGUGCUUCAUUGACGUCAGAGUUUUUUUUCCAUCCUUCCCUCUCAAGUGUGAUACGUAUUUUUCAUUUCAAAACUAGGUCUUCUUGGAGAGGGUGGAAUAAAAGGAGAGAGAACAACAGCCAUGGCGGUCCCCGAACUGGUUGGUGUGGGUGCAGUUCACUUCUUGAACCCAGUCUUGGGGCAAGUGAGACAGAUCCUAACCUGUCCCUAGGUUACCUGGCACCUGGCAGGGGGACAGAGCCCGCUGGGCUGGAUUACCCUCUCAUCAUGGCCUGAGUCUGAGCAACAGCAUGAGCAGCAGCAUCUUACACAAGCAACACUACACAGACCUGAAUAUAGAAUAUAGUCUAAUGAUAUAGUAUAAUAUAGUAUAGAUUGCAUUUUGAUUGCUGUUACAUUGCUAUUGGGGUUGUUAAUUGGAUUCAUACUGACUUUCCUUUUCCCUUUUUAAAACGUUUGAGUUAUUUGUGUACUUAUUUGUCAUUUUACUGCAUUGUUAGGAGCUAGUAGCAUAAGCAUUCUGCUUAUAGCGUUCCGAUAUAACAUCUGCUAAACUGUGUACGUGACCAAUAAACUUGGAUUUGAUUUGAAAAAUAAAGCAAUCAUUUGCACCUUA